rnacentral:rRNA from 1 species
CGCUUCUUUUUCCNCCGGAGCUUGCUCCACCGGAAAAAGAGGAGUGGCGAACGGGUGAGUAACACGUGGGUAACCUGCCCAUCAGAAGGGGAUAACACUUGGAAACAGGUGCUAAUACCGUAUAACAAUCAAAACCGCAUGGUUUUGAUUUGAAAGGCGCUUUCGGGUGUCGCUGAUGGAUGGACCCGCGGUGCAUUAGCUAGUUGGUGAGGUAACGGCUCACCAAGGCCACGAUGCAUAGCCGACCUGAGAGGGUGAUCGGCCACAUUGGGACUGAGACACGGCCCAAACUCCUACGGGAGGCAGCAGUAGGGAAUCUUCGGCAAUGGACGAAAGUCUGACCGAGCAACGCCGCGUGAGUGAAGAAGGUUUUCGGAUCGUAAAACUCUGUUGUUAGAGAAGAACAAGGAUGAGAGUAACUGUUCAUCCCUUGACGGUAUCUAACCAGAAAGCCACGGCUAACUACGUGCCAGCAGCCGCGGUAAUACGUAGGUGGCAAGCGUUGUCCGGAUUUAUUGGGCGUAAAGCGAGCGCAGGCGGUUUCUUAAGUCUGAUGUGAAAGCCCCCGGCUCAACCGGGGAGGGUCAUUGGAAACUGGGAGACUUGAGUGCAGAAGAGGAGAGUGGAAUUCCAUGUGUAGCGGUGAAAUGCGUAGAUAUAUGGAGGAACACCAGUGGCGAAGGCGGCUCUCUGGUCUGUAACUGACGCUGAGGCUCGAAAGCGUGGGGAGCAAACAGGAUUAGAUACCCUGGUAGUCCACGCCGUAAACGAUGAGUGCUAAGUGUUGGAGGGUUUCCGCCCUUCAGUGCUGCAGCUAACGCAUUAAGCACUCCGCC